GGUGCCUGACCCACUCCAGGGUCGGGGGCAAGAUCCUUAGGAGUAGGACCGGACUUCCAGUCCUAACCCUGCCACCAGCCUGCUGUGUGGCCUGAGCAUCCCUCUCUGGGCUCUCGUUUCCUGACUACACGCAUUGAGUGUGGGCCAAGAAAGCCCGGUUCCUCCUGGAUCAGCCGGGGAGACGUUCCUUCAGCCACUGCCGAGAACAGUGCUGCUCGGCCCUUCCAGAAAUACCCCAGGGGGAAGGCAUAGCCGCCUGGCCUCAGGGGGCUUGGGGACAAGGCCAGCAUUCUGCAAAAUCUUGUAUUUCAUCUGAAAAGCAUUAAUAUGAUUUUUGCGCUCCCCUUGAUAGUAUAUCCAUGCUUGAUUUAUGAUAUAGUAUAUAUAAUGUGCCCCUGUGCUCACAUCUCAAUCCAUCUUGCAGAGUGUUUGGAAAGACCAUGUCCGUGAAUACCUGUGAUGAACUUGACACAUGAUGGGGCUGUAUGAGUGCUUGCUGUCCUUCUUUCUAUUAUUAUUAUUAUUAUUAUUAUUAUUACUAUUACUAUUACUAUUUCCCAUUAUCAGUGUUCUUCUUAUUAACCAUGAUGUCCUGGGAGACAGCUCUCUUGAACUUAUCCAGGUUACAACGUCCUGACGGACAGCCACACUCUCCCACGCUCGGUACACGUAUAUUAAUCAUAACGGCUACUGCUUACUCAAUGCUCGACUCCAACAAGCACUUGACCUAUUUCAUCUCGUUAAUUCCUCAGAACAAACCUAUGAGGUCUGUACUGUCUUGUCUUCCCUUUUCCUAAGAGGGGCACUGAGGCACAGAGAUGGACGGUAACUCACCCAAAGCCGCACAGCAAGUAAGCGAUGUCGGGGGAACCUGGGAAAUUAUGGAGCGCGUUUCCUUUUCCCAGGCCAGGCCCACAGGAAGCGGUGGCGGGAAAGGCCCACGCCGCAAAGGCAGCCAGCUUUAACUUCCAGUCCUGUGUCCGUCACUUGCCAGCUCUGUGACCGGGGGCAGAGCCCUGAAUUUCUCUGUGCCUCAGUGUCCGCAGCUGUAAGAUGAAGUGAAGGCAAGUUGCCCGAUGGGGUUUUGGUGGGGAGACGCGGCACUCGGUGUGAAACGUUAGUGUCGCAAGC